CCCAUCCCAUCCUACCCCACUUCACCCCUACCAGGCCCCUCCAUCCCCCCACCCUGCUUUCCUCAUUUCUACAGGGAACUUACCUGUUUGCCCCCUCUGUGUCUGGGGCCUCACCUCAGUCCUCUUCAGCUCUUGAACUGAACCUACGUCAUUCUCCUGCCUAAAAACUCUGACCUGGGAUCUUCCUUGAAAUGUUUGCUGUCGUUUACUUGGCCUCGACAGGAAUGCUGUCUUCCAACAUAUCUUCAGGACCGUUUUCCCCUCUCACCAAAUUAGCUACAAGAUGGACUUUCUUUGUGAAUGCCCAAUGACCGACUUUUGUGUUUGAGUCAUCUUGCAGUAUCUUCAAUCAGAGGGACAGACUAAAAUCGCCAAGCUGUCAUAAAUUCAGGAUAUAUACAGUUAGAAUUUCAAGCGUUCUUUUGCGUGUGAUUAUACCAUUUGAUUUUGGUGGCGACGCAGUUGAAAAGCCAGUUUCAGAGGUUCAGUCCAUUAGCAUCAUGGCGGAAACAAGGUAGCAUCCAGGCAGACAUGGCGCUGGAGAAGCUGAGAAUUCUACAUCCUGAUCCGAAAGCAGCCAGGAGAAGACUCUCUUCCAGGCAGCCAGGAGGAAGAAUCUCUCCUCCCCUGCCUUUGAUGAAGUUGCUGCCACAUGAGGUGUGCCCAUCUGCAGGAAGUGGAGGAAGGACCCCAGCCAGUUAACCAGCAAGCACAUGAUUGACAGCCUCGGACCAAAAGCCUUGAGGAGCGAACCUGGCCAGAGUUCCAUGAGAGAAUCUGGAAAGGGGUUGUUCCCCAAUCAAGCCUUCCAAUUUCAGCCUUGCCAAAGAACCCCCAAGGCAGAGAAUGCAGGGUUCACAGAGCCUGAGACAAGGGACCAAUAAAGUUAAGGUGCCCAUAACACCAGUAGGUGAUUGUUAAUACGUGCUGGCUUCAUUUGACUUCGGAUGGGAGGUAGGAGGAGGGUAGGAAGAGAUCCAUUCUCAAAG
ensembl:lncRNA